UACGAAGGGGGCUAGCGUUGUUCGGAUUUACUGGGCGUAAAGGGCGCGUAGGCGGUUUGUCAAGUCAGUUGUGAAAUCUCCGAGCUUAACUCGGAACGGUCAACUGAUACUGUCAAACUAGAGUACAGAAGGGGGCAAUCGGAAUUCUUGGUGUAGCGGUGAAAUGCGUAGAUAUCAAGAGGAACACCUGAGGUGAAGACGGGUUGCUGGGCUGAUACUGACGCUGAGGCGCGAAAGCUAGGGGGAGCAAACAGG
rnacentral:rRNA from 1 species